GAAAUGCGAUAAGUAGUGUGAAUUGCAGAAUUCAGUGAAUCAUCGAAUCUUUGAACGCACAUUGCGCCCCUCGGUAUUCCGUGGGGCAUGCCUGUUCGAGCGUCAUCUACACCCUCAAGCUCUGCUUGGUGUUGGGCGUCUGUUCCGCCUCCUUCGCGCGCGGACUCGCCCCAAAUCCAUUGGCGGCGGCCCUUGCCUCCCUCUCGCGCAGCACAUUGCGCUUCUCGAGGCGCGGCGGACCGCGUCCAGCAAGCAACCGUCACACCGUCUUUGACCUCGGAUCAGGUAGGGAUACCCGCUGAACUUAAGC
rnacentral:misc_RNA from 1 species